rnacentral:rRNA from 1 species
UGGGGGAUAUUGCACAAUGGGCGAAAGCCUGAUGCAGCGACGCCGCGUGGGGGAUGAAGGCUUUCGGGUUGUAAACCUCUUUCGCUAUCGAACAAGGCCCGCUUAGGGUGGGUUGAGGGUAGGUGGAGAAGAAGCGCCGGCUAACUACGUGCCAGCAGCCGCGGUAAUACGUAGGGCGCGAGCGUUGUCCGGAAUUAUUGGGCGUAAAGGGCUUGUAGGCGGCUUGUUGCGCCUGCUGUGAAAACGCGGGGCUUAACUUCGGGCGUGCAGUGGGUACGGGCAGGCUUGAGUGUGGUAGGGGUGACUGGAAUUCCAGGUGUAGCGGUGGAAUGCGCAGAGAUCUGGAGGAACACCGAUGGCGAAGGCAGGUCACUGGGACAUUACUGACGCUGAGGAGCGAAAGCAUGGGUAGCGAACAGG